UACGGAGGGUGCGAGCGUUGUCCGGAAUCAUUGGGCGUAAAGGGCGCGUAGGUGGCGGGACAAGCGUGCGGUGAAAGCCUGGGGCUCAACCCCGGGUCGGCCGUGCGAACUGUUUUGCUUGAGCACUGUAGAGUCAGGCGGAAUUCCGGGUGUAGCGGUGGAAUGCGUAGAGAUCGGGAAGAAUACCUGUGGCGAAGGCGGCCAGCUGGGCCAGAUCCGACACUGAGGCGCGAAAGCGUGGGGAGCAAACAGG
rnacentral:rRNA from 1 species